AACGUAGGACACAAGCGUUAUCCGGAGUUACUGGGCGUAAAGGGCGUUUAGGCGGGUGAUUAAGUUCGCUAUGAAAGCGCCAGGCUAAACCUGGCGAGGCUGGCGGAUACUGGUCAUCUGGAGUAAGGAAGAGGGAGGUAGAAUUCCGCGUGUAGUGGUGAAAUGCGUAGAGAUGCGGAGGAAUACCAGUGGCGAAGGCGGCCUCCUGGUCCUUAACUGACGCUGAGGUGCGAAAGCGUGGGGAGCAAACAGG
rnacentral:rRNA from 1 species